rnacentral:rRNA from 1 species
UACGUAGGGUGCGAGCGUUGUCCGGAAUUACUGGGCGUAAAGAGCUUGUAGGUGGUUUGUCGCGUUGUUCGUGAAAUCUCACGGCUUAACUGUGAGCGUGCGGGCGAUACGGGCAGACUAGAGUACUGCAGGGGAGACUGGAAUUCCUGGCGUAGCGGUGGAAUGCGCAGAUAUCAGGAGGAACACCGGUGGCGAAGGCGGGUCUCUGGGCAGUAACUGACGCUGAGAAGCGAAAGCGUGGGGAGCGAACAGG